UUUNGGGUUUNANNNNCCCGUCAGGACGAANGCUGGCGGCGUGCCUAAUACAUGCAAGUCGAACGCUUCUUUCCUCCCGAGUGCUUGCACUCAAUUGGAAAGAGGAGUGGCGGACGGGUGAGUAACACGUGGGUAACCUACCCAUCAGAGGGGGAUAACACUUGGAAACAGGUGCUAAUACCGCAUAACAGUUUAUGCCGCAUGGCAUAAGAGUGAAAGGCGCUUUCGGGUGUCGCUGAUGGAUGGACCCGCGGUGCAUUAGCUAGUUGGUGAGGUAACGGCUCACCAAGGCCACGAUGCAUAGCCGACCUGAGAGGGUGAUCGGCCACACUGGGACUGAGACACGGCCCAGACUCCUACGGGAGGCAGCAGUAGGGAAUCUUCGGCAAUGGACGAAAGUCUGACCGAGCAACGCCGCGUGAGUGAAGAAGGUUUUCGGAUCGUAAAACUCUGUUGUUAGAGAAGAACAAGGACGUUAGUAACUGAACGUCCCCUGACGGUAUCUAACCAGAAAGCCACGGCUAACUACGUGCCAGCAGCCGCGGUAAUACGUAGGUGGCAAGCGUUGUCCGGAUUUAUUGGGCGUAAAGCGAGCGCAGGCGGUUUCUUAAGUCUGAUGUGAAAGCCCCCGGCUCAACCGGGGAGGGUCAUUGGAAACUGGGAGACUUGAGUCAGAAGAGG
rnacentral:rRNA from 1 species